rnacentral:rRNA from 1 species
GACCUCUAAUCGGAAAAGACUAUCCGCCGAGUUUAA